AGCAGCAUCAGGCGCGGUCGCCCAGCAGCGCCCUCACUGCAAAGUCACACACCCGGCGGGGCGUGGGGCGUCGGUCCCCUCCUGGCCCGCGCUGGAAACCUGGAAGUCUGUUGCUAAAAUGCACGCGCCGCUGCGCGGAGCCUAUGAUGACACUGCUUUCCAAGGCGGCUUCUCUCCCUUCGGCACUGAGACACGCGAGCCAUGGAGCUCUUGGGGCUCUGGCCCUGGAGUGAGGCCCACCGACUCGGGCUGGCUCUGCCACUGAAGGGCGAUGAGACCUUGGCAAGCCGCAUCUCUCUUGGGAGCCUUGAUUAUGCUACUCUGAAAGGGAUCAUAACAGCUACGCCACAGGGUUCCAGGAGGGCACACCACGCCGAUAGCUGCACCACGGAUGGCAGAGAAGUCCUCAUUUGUGCCUGUCCCAAAGGGGGCUGCACAGGGCUAGGGAGAAUUUCUGGUCUACCUGUGGUGCCUGUUCAUCUCCCGAGCACCUUCCAUGUGCUGGGCGAACUCACACGCACUGAAUUUACAAGAAGUGAUGCUGCAUCCUUGAGUCCCAUCCUUUAUGGUGGAGGAAAUGAACCUUGGGGGGAAACCACCUGGAUCAGAAGGAGAAAGCAGCUGCUCACAUCCAUCUCCCCUCCCUUGACUGGAAAAUUCCAUCCUGCAGGCUGGCAGAACAUUCCUGCAGAUCGGCUCACUCCUGCAACCUGCGGCCAUCUGUCCCCAAGGUCUUGUUAUGCUGUCCAGGCUGGAGUUCAGUGGCUUUCACAGGAGCACCCAUGGCUCAGCGAUCUUCCUGCCUUAGCCUGGGACUACAGGCAUGCACCACCAAACGUAGCAUAUUAUGACAUUUUUAAUAAAAGAUUUAAAAUAUGCCAAAAGGCAUAAAGGUGAAUACCCUGAACUCUAAUGUAUCCCCAACCCACUACAAGAAAUAGAACAUGGCGAGUGUGGUGGAAGUCCAGGGUCACUGCCUCCAUUACGUCCCCCUUGCCAGCCCUGCCCUGCUCCCAUCCCCAUGGUGAAUUCACCCUGUAGUGAAUCUCCUGCAUAGUGAGGUGUCCACAAACCAUAUAAACACUUGUGCACGUUUUUAAACUUUACGUAAGUAGAAUCGCAUUGCAUAUCUUUUUCUGCACCUCUUUCCCCAAUCAGCGUUAUGUCUGGAAGACUGAAUCACGGACUCUCUAAACCACAGACUUUUCCAUGCUGAGUUUCCAAAUCACAGCCUUUUCUAAUCAUAGACAUGGGCUUGGGCUCUGGUGCUGGGGGGACCUUGCUGGCAGGCUUUUGCAGGGCCCUCCUAACAUCUCUGCCCAGCUCCACCCUUCACGUGCAGGUGGCUGAUGAAGGGAGGAAGCAGCCGGAAGCAAUUAUCUCUGGAAACGUGUGUGGGCUUCUGGAAGCUUGGCAA